rnacentral:rRNA from 1 species
ACCAGACUCCUACGGGAGGCAGCAGUGGGGCCUCUUGCACAAUGGGGGCCCCCCUGAUGCCGCGACGCCGCGUGCGUGCAGAAGUAUUUCGGUAUGUAAAGCUCUCUCAGCAGGGAAGCAAAUGACGGUCCCUGAUUAAGAAGCCCCGGCUAACUACGUGCCAGCAGCCGCGGUCCUACGUAGGGGGCAAGCGUUAUCCGGAUUUACUGGGGGGAAAGGGAGCGUAGACGGCAGCACAAGUCUGGAGUGAAAGGCCGGGGCGGAACCCCGGAACGGCGGGGGAAACGGUGCAGCUAGAGGGCAGGAGAGGGAAGGGGAAGGCCUAGGGGAGCGGUGAAAGGCGGAGAUAUGAGGCGGAACACCAGGGGCGAAGGCGGCGUACGGGACGGUAACUGACGGUGAGGCGCGAAAGCGGGGGGAGCAAACAGGAGUAGAGACCCGAGUA